UCUGAAUGUAGUUCAGUGGUAGAACUUCCGGCUCUUAUCCGGUUAGACACAGGUUCGAGUCCUGUCUUCAGAG
rnacentral:tRNA from 1 species